AAUGGGGGAAAAGAAGGAAAGACUUGUAAGAAAGAGGAAGAAGAAUCAAAAAAGAAAAAUAUAAUAAAAACAAAAUUAGAAACAAACGCAUGCACCCUCCUCUCCUCUCCUCUCCUCUCCGUAAAUCGCCUUGGUCCUUUCUAGAUCUCUCUCUCUCUCUCUCUCUCUCCUCUGCUUUCUUCUUUAGCUUCUUAGGGUUUUUGAUCUCUUUGCCGUUACAAAUCUCCUCCCCAAUGUCUACUUCGCCGGCGCAUAUGAAGAAGUCUCUCCACGGCUUCUCUUCUCCCCUCACCCUUGGACCUCAAGUCUCUGCAGCUGUCACUGACGUCGACCCCAAAUCGGACCCAUCGCCGGAGACGCCCCCCGUUUCCAACCGAACCGUCGCGUCGCGAUCGUCUCGCCAGCCGCGCCUCUCCUUCUCCUCACUCGCUCCGUCGUCCGAGCGCGAUCACCAUAAGAAGGCGAAGUCCGACGAGAAUCCGCCGCGGAGAGAGGAAGCUCCGGCGUCGGCGGAGGAGGAGGAUGAGAAGAGGAAGUGGAAUCUGCGGCCGAGGAAGGCUUGCGGCGGUUCGAAGAAGGGGAACGGCGCGGUCCCCGCGGAGGCGUGCGGCGGAGGAGGAGCUUCGGAGGCGAAGAGUCAGAAACCAGUCGCGGCGGUGGUGGAGGCGAAAUCGAACAGGCAGAGAGGGAUUCCGGCGGAGUCUCCCGGGUUAGGCGGCGGCGGCGGCGGGGGCGUGGAGGCGAAGAACGAGAAUCACAGGCUAUGGGUGGCUCUGUCUCGUGACGAGAUCGAGGAAGACGUGUUCAGCAUGAGUGGGAACAGGCCUUCUCGUCGACCUCGGAAGAGGACCAAGACCUUGCAGAAACAUCUCGAUGUUAUCUUCCCUGGCUUGUGUCUUGUGGGCAUGAAUGCUGAUUGCUUCAGAGUAUCCACUUCUCCCGCUAAGGUACCUUUAGGCUUUGAUCAACCAAACUACAUUGAUCCGUAAGAUUGUGUGGAGUUGAAGCAAAUGAGGUUGCAAAAUGAUACUGUUGCAUUGCGUUGUUAAUAUUCAAUUAAUGACAAGGAACCAAGUAACAGCUGUUGUAUUUCAUUUGCAGCGAUGAUCGGCCCCAUAAACAUGUCGACAAAAGGGUAGAUAGGAGGGAUGCUUGGUGACAUGGUCUAGAAAUCCAGAAUACACAACAGUAAAAGAUAGGAAGAAGACAUAUAUCUCAAGAGGCAUUGGCUUGUCUCAUAUCAAACUUAGUAGGAACAACGUUAUAUAAAGUAAAUAUGGGUAAGUUCAUAAACUAUAUUUAUAAAGAGAGAGAGGGUGGUUGGUUCGAUUUUGAGUUUAUCGAUAAUGAAAUACAGAAAAUCGGUUAGUAUGGUGCUUUGUGUAGUUCAAUUGAAUCUCAUGGUGGAGUACAUUUUAUUUCUC